rnacentral:rRNA from 1 species
GAUGAACGCUGGCGGCGUGCCUAAUACAUGCAAGUCGAGCGAACAGACGAGGAGCUUGCUCCUCUGACGUUAGCGGCGGACGGGUGAGUAACACGUGGAUAACCUACCUAUAAGACUGGGAUAACUUCGGGAAACCGGAUCUAAUACCGGAUAAUAUAUUGAACCUCAUGGUUCAAUAGUGAAAGACGGUUUUGCUGUCACUUAUAGAUUGAUCCGCGCCGCAUUAGCUAGUUGGUAAGGUAACGGCUUACCAAGGCAACGAUGCGUAGCCGACCUGAGAGGGUGAUCGGCCACACUGGAACUGAGACACGGUCCAGACUCCUACGGGAGGCAGCAGUAGGGAAUCUUCCGCAAUGGGCGAAAGCCUGACGGAGCAACGCCGCGUGAGUGAUGAAGGUCUUCGGAUCGUAAAACUCUGUUAUUAGGGAAGAACAAAUGUGUAAGUAACUAUGCACGUCUUGACGGUACCUAAUCAGAAAGCCACGGCUAACUACGUG